rnacentral:rRNA from 1 species
GCUCAGGAACGAACGCUGGCGGCGUGCUUAACACAUGCAAGUCGAACGCUGAAGCUUGGUGCUUGCACUGGGAUGGAUGAGUGGCGAACGGGGUGAGUAAUACGGUGAGUAACCUGCCCUUGACUCUGGGAUAAGCCUGGGAAACUGGGUCUAAUACUGGAUACGACAUGUCACCGCAUGGUGGUGUGUGGAAAGGGUUUUACUGGUUUUGGAUGGGCUCACGGCCUAUCAGCUUGUUGGUGGGGUAAUGGCUCACCAAGGCGACGACGGGUAGCCGGCCUGAGAGGGUGACCGGCCACACUGGGACUGAGACACGGCCCAGACUCCUACGGGAGGCAGCAGUGGGGAAUAUUGCACAAUGGGCGAAAGCCUGAUGCAGCGACGCCGCGUGAGGGAUGACGGCCUUCGGGUUGUAAACCUCUUUCAGCACGGAAGAAGCGAAAGUGACGGUACGUGCAGAAGAAGCGCCGGCUAACUACGUGCCAGCAGCCGCGGUAAUACGUAGGGCGCAAGCGUUGUCCGGAAUUAUUGGGCGUAAAGAGCUCGUAGGCGGUUUGUCGCGUCUGCUGUGAAAGCCCGGGGCUUAACCCCGGGUGUGCAGUGGGUACGGGCAGACUUGAGUGCAGUAGGGGAGACUGGAAUUCCUGGUGUAGCGGUGAAAUGCGCAGAUAUCAGGAGGAACACCGAUGGCGAAGGCAGGUCUCUGGGCUGUUACUGACGCUGAGGAGCGAAAGCAUGGGGAGCGAACAGGAUUAGAUACCCUGGUAGUCCAUGCCGUAAACGUUGGGCACUACGUGUGGGGAACAUUCCACGUUUUCCGCGCCGUAGCUAACGCAUUAAGUGCCCCGCCUGGGGAGUACCGCCNCNAGGCUAAAACUCAAAGGAAUUGACGGGGGCCC